GAAGUUUAAUUCAUAUGCAAAUGAGCACUCGCAAGUGCCCAGGAGGGCGUUCAGUGUGAACCAACUCACCCAUUCCAAGUGGGAGAUAGUGUGCUGAUAAAGAAAUUAAAGAAGGGAAAAUUUGCAGGAGACUUCACCUACGGACCACCGACUACAGUGGUAGCCGCGACCCGCACAGCAGUGCUCACAGAAGAAGCACCUACUUGGAUCCAUGCCACCAGAGUGAAACUGGUAAAGGAGGCACCCCAAAAGGAGGUGAUAACGGGGACAGACAGU